AGCUCUUCUAUUUUCAAGAUAGCAUUUGUCCAUGCUCAGUGUCUGUCUCCUUUAGGAAUUCUAACUUACUCCCCACAUCAGAGAUGCAAACACAUCAGAUAUUAAACCUCAGAGGACCUGAUGCCAUGCAUUGCAGGCUUCCUUUGAUGGCGUCAAGGGAUAUAAAGGUUGCAAAGGCAUUCACUCACCACAGGAACACCUCCUGGUAGCCAGCUGUGGUGUAGCAACUGUCUCCCUCUGAACAUGACAUUUGCCUGCUCAUCAUCCCUGCUAAACCCCA